rnacentral:rRNA from 1 species
UACCAGGCACCCCAGAGUGGUCGGGACGUUUAUUGGGCCUAAAGGCAUCCGUAGCCGGUUCUACAAGUCUUCCGUUAAAUCCACCUGCUUAACAGAUGGGCUGCGGAAGAUACUAUAGAGCUAGGAGGCGGGAGAGGCAAGCGGUACUCGAUGGGUAGGGGUAAAAUCCGUUGAUCCAUUGAAGACCACCAGUGGCGAAGGCGGCUU